rnacentral:rRNA from 1 species
AGAGCGAACGCUGGCGGCAGGCCUAAAACAUGCAAGUCGAGCGCCGUAGCAAUACGGAGCGGCGGACGGGUGAGUAACACGUGGGAACGUACCCUUUGGUUCGGAACAACACAGGGAAACUUGUGCCAAUACCGGAUAAGCCCUUACGGGGAAAGAUUUAUCGCCAGAGGAUCGGCCCGCGUCUGAUUAGCUAGUUGGUGGGUAACGGCCCACCAAGGCUACGAUCAGUAGCUGGUCUGAGAGGAUGAUCAGCCACACUGGGACUGAGACACGGCCCAGACUCCUACGGGAGGCAGCAGUUAGGAAUCUUGGACAAUGGGCGCAAGCCUGAUCCAGCCAUGCCGCGUGAGUGAUGAAGGCCUUAGGGUUGUAAAGCUCUUUCAGCGGGAAGAUAAUGACGGUACCCGCAGAAGAAGCCCCGGCUAACUUCGUAGCCAGCAGCCGC